CCAGGGCUUCCCAGGCAGCCUUCAUCCCUUCUCCCUGCUCACCUUGUCCUCAGACCCCAAGAUUGUCAGGACUUGGGAUAUCUGGCAGGGCCCCUACAAGCCACUCUGGCUAGUCUGUACAGACACAGCUCUGCAGCAGGAGGUAACUGAUCUAGAGCUGGAUUUCAGUCUCCGUUUGCCUCCUCAGCAAGGCAUAAUCUGCACAACUGUGCUUAGUGGCCUUGAUAUUUGAAAGUCUGUAUACUACAAAGAUAGAGAUCACCAUGUCCAUCCCUUUUUAUCUUUUCUACCUAGACCAGAAAAAGGUACCUAUCCCUUCUCUUCUGAGAAAAUCCUGUGGAAGUAGCUUCCACAGGGAAUCCCCAUUGCCAGUUCCAGAUAUUACUCUGGGGGAAGUUCCUCCAAUAUCAAACCUCAAUCCCUCCUGCUGCAGUGCCUUCUUUUUCUGGGCUCUGCCUCUGGACUCAUGGUGUUAUUUGAUGCUUCGAGGCACUUUCAGAUUCCAUCCCCUGAUGCAGCAUUUGCUAUAAAUAUGUCUGAAGGGUUUCUUGCGACAAUGCCCAGCAAGAUCGCACCCUCCUUCCCAAAUCAGGCCUCUGGACAGACUGGGGAGUCAGCUGUGGGUUCAAGACCUAACUCUUGCUCACUCUGGGACAGAUAGUAUGACUGUUGUGUGCAUUUGGAGGUUCCUCCUGGUACCUGGGAAGGAGGGGAAGGUGAGAGGGCUGAGGUGAUUGGCUUCAUGCUCUUGCUGCCCAGAAUCCGGCUCAGCCUAGCACAUAGUAGGUGCUUGAUAAUAUGUUUCUUUUAGUCUUAGAUCCCAGUUUCCCCUCUGGGUCUGCUGAUGCACAUGAUAGGUGAUUCCAGUCUCACAGAACGGAUUGCAGUGAGCAAUGAGCCUGG
rnacentral:lncRNA from 1 species